rnacentral:misc_RNA from 1 species
AUUUAUUUAUUUAUUUUUUAAAUAUACUUAUGUAUUUAUAUGGUCAACAAUUUUUGUGUAUGAAUACAGAUAGAUGGACAUUUUUCUUGAGUUGAUGUGUCAAAGGGUUUUAUUACUUUGGCUUCGACACACAUUCACCACCCUGCAUUGUUUCAAUUAUUUCUAGGUCUUCUUUCUGGUUGAGAUGUUGGAUGGUUCACCCAUGUAGUCAUCCAUUUGGGUUGUAAGUUUGAGUAACUGUUCUUUAAAUUCCAAGCAAUUGAAUGAUACUCUCUGUGAUUUUUGCUUCUGUAGUUCUAUUAUCACUUGACAUGUUAUUUUGAAGAGAAAGUCACUUGAUUUAGAUUUUGGCAGUAAAGAAUGGCAUGCUGCAUGCCAUUUGAACCACAUCCCUUUUGCUUUAUAAUGGGGAAUUUGUUGAUAUAUUUUGGUGUUGUUUUUGAAAAUAUCUGUUGAAUUUUAGUGAUCAGUUAUGUAAAUUAAUUGAAAUAGUUGUUCAAUCAUGGUUUUGGGAUGGCACAUCUUUGUUUUAGCUAUGGGACUUUUCUGGUCUUGAAUGGUUGGAUGUUACAGGGUAUGUAAUUCCUUUCUAGAGUGUUUCAUUAUGAAAAUAUAUAUUGUUUAUUGUGAUGAGAUUUGUAACAUGGUUUCAAGUUUUUCAAUGAUAUCAUUAUGAUCCCUAAGAUACUGGCUUUUUUUUAGAGAAUAUUUUAUUGAAAACAAUGGGAAGGUGAAGAAUUAAGCAGUGUUACAACAGUAUUGGAACUGAGCUGUAUCUGAUAUGUGUAUCUUUAGCCCAGUCCUACACCACACAGUAACCCAUGUGUUCAUCAAUUAGGGCUGUAACUUUUUGUAAUUCUUUAUCUUGCCUUAUUUUGGAAAACCUAGCUCUCUUGUUGUCUAAGAGGAGUUAGUAUAAUCUUCUGGUUUUGCUCAGGAUGAUGAGACAACCUUGUCAG